CUACGGGAGGCUCCAGUGGGGAAUAUUGCACAAUGGGCGCAAGCCUGAUGCAGCCAUGCCGCGUGUAUGAAGAAGGCCCUCGGGUUGUAAAGUACUUUCAGCGGGGAGGAAGGGAGUAAAGUUAAUACCUUUGCUCAUUGACGUUACCCGCAGAAGAAGCACCGGCUAACUCCGUGCCAGCAGCCGCGGUAAUACGGAGGGUGCAAGCGUUAAUCGGAAUUACUGGGCGUAAAGCGCACGCAGGCGGUUUGUUAAGUCAGAUGUGAAAUCCCCGGGCUCAACCUGGGAACUGCAUCUGAUACUGGCAAGCUUGAGUCUCGUAGAGGGGGGUAGAAUUCCAGGUGUAGCGGUGAAAUGCGUAGAGAUCUGGAGGAAUACCGGUGGCGAAGGCGGCCCCCUGGACGAAGACUGACGCUCAGGUGCGAAAGCGUGGGGGGCAAACAGGAUUAGAUACCCUGGUAGUC
rnacentral:rRNA from 1 species